rnacentral:lncRNA from 10 species
GGAGACUUUCUGUUCUCUGUUUGGUUAUUGUUCCAGUUCUUGCUGCUCUAACAGCAGCAUUUUGUCCUGUCCUGGGCACAACAGCAGCUUGUUCCAGCUGCCAGCUUCUGUUUAAGCUCCCAGAACCAGCCUCACCAUGCCUCCCUAGAGGUCCCAGCCAGCAGCAGCUGGGCAACGUCUCUGCCCUGGGGGGUCCCUUCUCCAAAAUUCCAUCUCUUGAUACAUCCAGUCCCUUCCCAUUGCUCCCCUAGCACUGGGGGUAAUAGCUGCUUCCUGUUCAUUAUUAUCAGUGUCCCUGGUCCCCUUUUUUUCUGUCAGCCCUUCAUCACCUUUGUAACCAAUUGCCUACGUUAAAUUCCUUCUGUUGAAAGAACUGCCUGGAUACUGCUGGACUUUUGACUCUUGUCAAUGGAAGUGGAUGACAGCAGGGUUACCUGUCUGAAGGUCAGUAGGAGGUAUAAUGUGUGUGGAGGAUGACAACAGUGGUUGUAGGAUGCAGGUGUCUCUCUGUGCUCAGCCCUCCCUCUGGGGAGGCUGAGUUGUCACUUCCCCAUCAGAGGAAGACAAUCUGUCUCUGACCAGUGUCCUGGCUAAGAUGGGGCCCCGGUGGAGGUGUGUGAGCAGAUGACUCAGAGACUCUUCUUCAUAUUAAAAUAUUCCAGUAAUUAUGUCAGGGCCGAUCCGGCUCACGCAUGGCACUUUACAAAAGAUACACAAAUCGUGGCCCAGUAGGCUCUGGGCCAGAACACACGCAAGGCACCGGCGUGCUCCACAGCACCGCGGGCGGAUCAGAGCAUCUCCAGCCUGUCAAAGACCCACUCCUCUGUAUCUCUCCACGGGAGACAAGCCAUUUGCCGGAGCCACAUAAUGGAGCAUUCAGCCUUUGAAUUGCCACUUCUCUGAAGACUCUACAGGGCUAUGAGGGUGACUGCCUCAGGCCGGGAGGAAGGGAGGAAGGUAGGAAGGAGGUUUUGAGCCUUUAUCUGACUAGAAAGAGGCUGCUAUAGGCCCACAAAAUCAAGGUCUCACCCCCUCACCCCUGAGAGGCAGCCAGGCGUCCUGGGCAAGAGUGAUGCUGUCUCCACACCGCAGGGGCAGCAAGCAAGGCUGUAGACAGGGCUGUUCCAAUGUGUGACCCCAAGAAGACACCUGCCAAGGAGAAGGAGGCAGUGCGGGCCCCUGAGAAGGAGCUGCCCAGCCUGCGUGUGUGUGCUGGGGGCCGAGGCUGUUGGUUUCAGUGCAUUAAAUCAUGGACUGCUCUCCACUGCGUUACUAUUCC